ensembl:lncRNA
CAAGAAAUGGACCUGGUAUGCUAUGAUAUGUUUUGCUGCCUGUGGUCAGAGGACUGAAGGGGUGAAUGCUGUUUCCACACUGUUCAUCCUUGAUCCUGACUGCAAUCACUUUCAUUUUUAUUAUUUGUAGAAGAAGUUGAUGCAAUGAGAUCAACUGAAGCAGAGUAACGUGGAUAAUACUGGCCUGUGUGAAAAAUUCUAGCGUGCUUGAAACAAGACUUCAUUGCUGAGCUACAGGGAUUAAGGGAAGGGAUUUUAUUUGCCUGCUGCAGUUAGAUGCAGCGUCCUCAAGGACCCCAGAAUUUGCAUGGAAACAUGGAGGAGAGGAGAGAGGAAAUAACCUUUACAGAAAGAAAAUCAGUCAAAUCAUCUUUAUCAUUCAAACAAAAGAUGACAGGAAAUGAACAGGUGACUUCAAGGAUGAAAAAAAUACUCUUCUGCCAAUUCAAGAAAAGAUAAUGGAUGAGGUGUUACAGAACCUCAAAGAUCUUUAUCAUGCAACAAACUACAUUUUGAGAACAAUGCCUGGAAUAAAGAGGGGAAGAAAAUGUUUAAUACUGCUACUUCCUCUAACUAAGAUCAUAGAAUCAUCAAAUCAUAAAAGGUUGGAAAAGACCUCUAAGAUCAGCCAUCACCACCAUGCCCACUUUGGAGGAUGCCAAAGCAGACACAGAACUGAACAGCAGUCUCAGAUUGUGAUACAUCAUGCUUUUAGAAUUGUUAUUCUCUCCUGAUUCACCUUGUUGCAACUGUAACGAUGCCUGUAGUCCCAGAAGUGGGAGCAAGAAGAGAUCAUUACAACUGGGGCAUUUAUUUCCUCUCUGCUAUCAAAGAGAUGAGCCUCUGGACAGCAAAUUUAGUGGUAUUUUACUGGAUACAGAUGCAGAGCACUGCACAUCUCUUCUUCCUGCAAUAUAACAGCAGUGGAGAGUUCAGCUGAGAGAACAAACUUUGAGAAGAUAUCUCACUCCUGUAGGACAGUGAAACAGUUGUCCAAAUCACAAUGUGGGACUCAGAGCCAUGGCCUAGAACAAGAGAAGGGUAUAUACCUUGUCUUUCUUAUUCUUACAAGGAAAGAUCAAGAUACAUCUAUAUGUGACUUUUGACAAUUCAAGAAAGAAAACUUCAAAUGCUCAGUGGAAAUGCUAAGUCACAGCUUGAAGCAGUGAUUGAGCACCUGGUGGAAGGCAGGGCCAACUCAGGUGAGCUCAGGUGCAUGCAAUGCAGCUGAGUGAUCAGAAGGACUGGAGCCAGGAUCCACCCCUUCCCAGCCCUCAUUUAAGGGUUGGCAGUGGAGGCAAGGAUAUCUUCCUAGAGUUUUCUACCUACCUGAGUCUUUCCAAAGAGCUUUGUGAACAGAAUGUCUGGACCUGCACAUGUUCACCCUCCCACGAGUGCUGGCCUCUACUGCAAAUUCUUGUUGCUGUCUUGUCCUUGGGAAGAGCCUUAGAUAUACAGGCUUAUCAUAGUGAUUUAAACACAGCUACCUGCGGAUGUGAUGGAUUUCCUUUAUUUGCAGUCUCCCAGUCAAGACUAGAUGGAUAUCUAAGAGGCAUGUUGUAGCUCAAACAGAGAGAGGUGCUUGGUGCAGAAAUUAUAGGGUCAGAUUCAAAGGCUGGUGUUGUGUGGGAGGUCAGGCAAGGUGAGUGUGUACUUCCAACCACUGCAUCUACACUGUAAAUUUCAAAGCUGUCUGUAAAACUAGGAAAUGCAGAAGGAAUUUAAUGCAAAGCGUUUACCUUUCCUUUUGUCUGAGAUGUAACCCAACGUUUUGCCUUUCCACCACAUCAUUGUGAAAGGAAAUUAAUUUCCCUGCUCACUGAUUAUACUGGAACUAUUUAAAGCAAAUUCUCAGCUACCACAUACUUGAUCAUAGAAACUUUCUUAACCCCAAAGCUCUCUCGUUUCAACGCUUUCCUCCAACAAGAACUCCACCAGAAACAAAAAUAACUUCUCUUUCUAACCUUUCAACCCAGGACUCCCUACUCAGCUUUAAAUGCAAUCCCAAGGAAGAGAAUUUAUCUAUACUUUUUCUUCCUUUAGGCAGUUACUCACCUGUUUUCAUCUGGCCUUUCUUCAGCCUUGAGCCUGGAAGGAGCAGGUUCACACAGUGCUCAGAGUAUCAACAAAUGAAGGGGGGACUGCCUGCAGAGAAGUGUAGGCCUGAGUUUGUUAAAUCCUCAGAGAAAGGAUGGAGCAGAUAGAUAUAUGCAUAAGGCAGGCAGAAUUGAUAUUAUUUAUUCCUCUUUGGCAGAGUCUGGACAGAAGAGACAGUAGAAAGUACGUCCAUUUCAUCAGACUGGAUGUGUUCAAAGGUGAUAACAGAAGCUGAAUGAACUUGGCUGCCACUGUCCCCGCCUACAGCCAAAGACUGAAUUUGGUGAUGGCCCUCCUUGAGUAGAGCCAAGUGGUGCUCCAUAGCCAAGACUGUCAGCCCAAAAGAGUUGCUGAUCUGCCUGAUCUCAUGUUCCAAGAAUGAAACCCUGGCAUGGAAGUGGCAUAUCUGCCAGUUAAUGUCAACAUUUGAUGUGCAGUCAGAGAGCAAACAAGGUUUCAUAUUGUGGUAAAAAGGGAAAUACUGUUCGCUUUAAUUCUAGUUUCUUUGUGUCAGAUGUAUUAAGAGUCUCAUAAAAUAGUGAAAGAAUUUCAUUCUUACAAUUAUAAGAAGCAUAUAUAUAUAUAUAUAUAUAUAUAUACACACACACACAUAUACAUACACAAUGUACCUACUUCUACAAGUACAAACAAAAUGUAAAAUCUAGCUAGUAAUGAAUAGCUUGAAACAUCCUUUUCAGAAAACAUUAUAAUACAAGACUCCAGUGACUUUAUCUAACGCUCAGUUACUAAGACGGGGAAGAGAACACUUAACUGUGAAUGAGCUUCCCUACAGCAAAAGGAAAGUGCUCCCAGACUGAAAAAUAGGCAGGGACAGACUAAGAUAUCAUGUAGAGUGGGUACAGCUUGCUGUCCAGCUCUCACCAGCCAUGUGUAUAUGACAUGUGCUUUAUUGUCCUCCAGUCUUCUGGAUGAGAGAUCACAGGAGAUCACAUUUCAAACAGUGAUGUCCCAAGUGUGGGAAGAACAGAGCAAUGGGACUCUCACUGCUGUAGGAGGCAGUGCUCAGCACCACAGGAGAUAGUCCUGAGCUCCCAAGGACAAUAAUUAAUGACAACCAGCACUGGCACAGCACUUCUGUUGAGUCUCAGAGCAGAAACACCUGCAGCAUAUCCCACCCUGGCAGGGAAAUGGAGCUGGUGACCUAACAAUCUUUCCCACCUCUAACUUCUGGGGCUUUAUGAAUCGUCAGUCACACCUAGGUGUGAUAUCGCUAUAAAAUCCCAGUCACGUAAGAGAGCUGGCAGGAAGCUCUGGCUGUGCAACUCUGUGGUUUUAUGCUUAGCUGUGUUCUAAAUACUGAAAGAAUGAAGUAGACUUUCAAGCAUCAGCGUUGACAGUUGCUUUCAGAGAUAUUCAAACAAACAAAAUCCAGUCACAUAGACAGCAAAACCAGCUGCAGCUUGGGCUACAGCACAAACAUGACUUUUUGUUUUGAAAAGAAAGUCAUCACUAUCUAAAUGCCACCUGUGGUGCGGUGUGACUGAUACAGCUCUUCUUCAAGAGCUCUUUAUAGACUCAUAAAACCAUAGAAGCAUUUGGGUUGGAAAAGACCUUCAAGAUCAUUGAAGUCCAACCAUCAACCUCACCUACCAAGUGCCACCACCAAACCAUGUCCCUUAGUGCUGCAGAACAUCCCCAGAGCAAACAUGAGCACUGUGCCCAGCACCAGCUGUGUACUUCACACAGAGGGUGGUGACGCACUGAACAGGUUGCCCAAGGAGGCUGUGGAUGCCCCAUCCCUGCAGGCAUUCAAGGCCAGGCUGGAUGUGGCUCUGGGCAGCCUGGUCUGCUGGUUGGCAACCCUGCACACAGCAGGGGGUUGAAACUAGAUGAUCACUGUGGUCUUUUUCAACCCAGGCCAUUCUAUGAUUCUAUGAUUGACUAUGGACUAUGGGUGACAUCUACCUGUGAUUGCUGCCAUCUUAACACUAGGGCAGAGCUCAGUACAUUUCUCUACAUGGUGUGUUGCAGUAGGAAAGUUUCUUUCCUUCUCCUCCUCCAAAGUCCUGCAACGGGAAAAGAAAACAUGGGAAACCGUGUCUUCAAAUCAUACACCCAUACUUCAUCUCAUUGUAUAAUCAUCACAAAAAUCUGGUGGUGAGCUGUACUGUAUCUGUGUUUUGUCUGGAGGUUGGAAGUGGUUUUAACGAUUUAAAUCAUGGUAAAGAAAAGGGCCACUCAAAACACAGAGCUGGAAAGCAGAACCGCUUCGGUGUCUGCAGUAUUCUAAACUAGAUUUUGGUCCAGGUCCUGCUCCACUGUGUCCUCGUGUUGGGAAAGUAUAUUCAGAGCUGACAUGGCUUUCCCAGGUGUUUUCUACUGGGACAAAGUGCAGAGAAUGCAGUUAAUCACGAGUGCAUUCAAGUGUCCUAAGGUCUUUGGGUGAAAGCUGUUAGAGACAUUGAAAAAGUGUUUAAUAAUCACAGCCCCAUGUCCUCAGCACAGGCUUUUUGGGUUCACAAAAGUUCAAACACCUUUUAAGAAAUUUAGGCCAAAAUGUAAGCAGGCCAGAGCCAUGCAGCAGUUCCAAUGGCAACGGGGACAGCGCUUUGUUGAACCAUUUUCAGGAUCAUGACUACUGGGUAAGAUGCAUGCUGAGUGGUGCUGCUUUUAUAAACCACAGCAGGCGCAAAGGUACUGUGUGCAGUUUCCUAUAGUUGACAUAAAGAUAUAUACAUUUUUUUUUUCAACAGUCUCACUUCUACACAGUUUCAAUUAGAAGUGCAUAUAACAACAAUCCCCAAGAAGAUUCAACAUUGGGUCUUUCAACUGACUGUCAACACAUCCUGUUCUUCCUCAUUUGCAAUACUUGUCCCUAAAAACAAAUUGGACACAAAAGCUUAAGUCUAUACUUAUGAAAUGCUUUUGGAUUAUGUAAAAACAUUGCAGAGGAUUUUAUUGCCUCUUGUUGUACUGGCUAAGAGUUACCCAAACCAUCCACAGAUGGAAGAAGAAGGGGUUAUCUGCAACUUCUGGAGUAGCUAGAAGGAAGCUUUCACCUGCUGACCUGCCCGCUCCAGCUGAGGGUUACAGAAGAGAAGACUCUCCCUGGACCAUGAGAUCCAACAAACACCUCUCAACAGAAAUACAGGCUUGUGGACUGAUCAGAAAGUGACGAAGUAUUUCUAGUACAUAACGUAAAAGGUAUUAACUUGUAUUGAAACAUGAAUUGAGCUUCCAUUUUAACCACUGAUAGCCAUUAGAAAGAUAACGGGUCAUCUUAUUCAUUACGUCUAGAAAGACCCUCAGAAUGUGCUGCUAAGGACAGGUUGGAGUGAUUGCUUUCUAUCAAUUAGCAGCAUGGGACAUGUUCUAAAUGUAGCCUAGUCUAGACUUUCCUGCUUUGGGUAGAUAACACAGCUGAUAUCACACAAGACUGUUUGAUGAGAAUCUUUACAGAAAGAAUCACUGCUGUGGGAAGUUCAGAUAUGAUUUUCAGCUGCUGAAAUAUGAUCAGAAUGAAAAUCUCAGCUCAGCUCUCAGACCGACAUGGGUGAAACGAUGUCUUCCUGGAGGCACAUCUACGUGGGGAGGAACCAGCAACCCUUCGGCAAAAUUCAAAUGCAGUUCUUCAGUGGGGAGCUUUCAUUCCCCACUGUGCCUGUGGCACAUGGGCAGUGAGCCAGUAGGGUCUGGGGAUCGGGGUGAGUGGGAUGAGUGGGACUGCUCCUCCAGCCCAGAGCUUUCCAGCUCUACUCAGGUGGGACCUGGCCAAUGCCCAGCACCCCUCUGUUGGAUCCAACACACAGAGAUGCCCUUGGCUGUGCUCUGAUGAGUGGUGAGGAGCUGAAGCCAGGCUGAUUCAAGGUGGAAAUGCAGCAUUUUAUUUAUUUGUUUGUUUGUUUUUAGCAGAAGCUGUGAUUUUAAAUAAGGAUCUAAAUCUGCAUUGGGUAUCUUUCUAAAAGAUGACCUCCUGCAACUGUGGGGCAGAUACAGAAACAUUGUGACCUUAAGAAUUUAUUUCUAUCAAAUAUGAACUUCAUUUCCAUCGUUUCCCACUGUCCAGAGAUGUCAGAGAUCAGUUUAAUUGCAUAGACUGUCAAGACUCCCUGGGAAUUAUGUGCAGUUUUUUUCCUAUCUCUCUCAGACAGGAUCCAUCUUCACUUUGAAUAAUUACUGCCAGAGCUGAAUCAGAAACUGCCAAAGCUGCAGGAAAGAAUCCAACAUUUUUCUACACAGAUUCAAAGCAAAUAUGAAUUCCCUUCCCUUUCCUUUUUCCUUUCCCUUCCCUUCUACCACAACCCCUUUCACUUCAUUCCCUUUGAAUAACUUACCAUGAAUGAAUUUAGUGAGGGAAUGGUACACAAGAAAUCUUUGGGCAAAUCCUCAGCUGUUUCAAUUGGCUGCAGUAAAGCUACACUCUGUUACACCCUGAAGAUGCACCACAGUGGAUGUGAAUAGCUCUCUUGGAGAUUAUUCACCUCGUAUGAAUGCAACUGUUCCCAUCAGCUAUCUCAGCUUAAAGAUUGUGGUUAUUGAGUCAGGGGACAGAACAAUGGUAUGGGAUUGAGCCCAAGCAAUUAACUCUUCCCUCAACUUUAUUACUGAAUCCUGAACUGGCAUCCCACAGAGAACCUGUAACAAUCUUAUUCAGAUCAAAGCCCCCACUUUUUAAAUAAUGAGAAGUUUGGAAAACAAAAAUCAAAGGGCAGCCUAUGAUUCACACACAGAAAUUUUAUAAAAACCACAAAAUCAAAAGGCCCUUAAUUGAGGCCUUUCAACCCAACCAAGUAUUCAUUCCAAGAUAAUUACUGCCAUAAAACCCUCUGCCACAGAGACACUGGACUAGAAAACCUUUGAAUUGCACACGGAACUUAAGGAAAGAGCUGGCUGGGAUGUAAUCCUGCUGAGACCUGAAAAGGAGAAGUUCUGGGGGGGAACCAAGCCUUCAGUGCAAGUCAUUCCUCUGUAAAAACAUGUCAUCAUUGAGAAGGCUCUACAACAAGAAAAGACUGGGGAAGAUCUGCCAGGAGCAAACCAGGUACUCUUAUAAAUAAGGAACAAAUAGCACUGUACAUCACAUGGGUUAAAUGCCAUGAGUAGCAUCAAAUGGUAUCUUGAAGAACAGAUGAGUCAACAGCCAGAAAUGCAACUGAUUAAAACCAAAAUUAAACUGGCUCUAACUGAUGGUGCAUGAAGGGCUACAAUCAAAAAAAGAAAAGAAAAAGGGAAAGUCUUCUGCUGUUGGGAUUCCUCUGUUCCUUCAAGCUACAAUAGGUUCUGAGCUGCACAACGUUAAAAUCGUCACUGUCCUUUUGGGCACCUAACCAAAGAUGAGGGCAACUCUUGGAGCAAUGCAGUGCUCAGUCCCUGCCAUAGACCUGCCUCACAAACAGUGGUUUGGUUUUGUGGUUGUUGGCCAAUAUCUGAAAGGAUAGAAUUUCCAGACUGGAAGGGAUCCACCAGCACCGGAGUCCAACUCCUGCUCACUCUCAAGGUACUGAUUAAGAAGCUUUAGACUGACAAAUAAGUACACUUAGGAAGUUCUCCAAAUAAAUGACUGAUUAUAAUUGCUAAGGACUUUCAGAUGAAAUGGCUUUAACAUAACUUUUACUGAAAAUUUGGUAUGACAGAGGGCUAUACUCAACAGGAACUAUUUCUGUCAAUCUAGAUGUAUUUCACCAUGGUUGCAUGGCUGGUCAAAUAUCUCUACAAACAAAUGCAAUUGUUGAAAUUUUGAAAUGAAACAAUUAUGGUCCUCUUAUUUUCUGAUCAAUUCAGAUAUGUGAAGACAAAUACGUAGUUAGCAUACAAAGAGGCAUCCCUCCAAACAUUACAUUUGGUUCCUAUGAAAAUUUUCUUGCUGUAGUAAGGCCAAAAAU